GCCCAGGUAGCUCAGGUGGUAGAGCAGUGGACUGAAAAUCCUCGUGUCGGUGGUUCAAUUCCGCCCCUGGGCACCA
rnacentral:tRNA from 1 species